GACGAACGCUGGCGGAGAGCAUAAUACAUGCAAGUAGAACGCUGAAAGAAAAAAAUGAUUAUAUGGAAGAGAUGAAAAAGAGAAAGAAAAGAAACAAUAAAAAAAAAGAUAGAGGAGAAUAACUAUUGGAAACGAUAGCUAAUACCGCAUAAUAGUAGAUGUCGCAUGACAUUUGCUUAAAAGGUGCAAUUGCAUCACUACCAGAUGGACCUGCGUUGUAUUAGCUAGUUGGUGAGGUAACGGCUCACCAAGGCAACGAUACAUAGCCGACCUGAGAGGGUGAUCGGCCACACUGGGACUGAGACACGGCCCAGACUCCUACGGGAGGCGACAGUAGGGAAUCUUCGGCAAUGGACGGAAGUCUGACCGAGCAACGCCGCGUGAGUGAAGAAGGUUUUCGGAUCGUAAAGCUCUGUUGUAAGAGAAGAACGAGUGUGAGAGUGGAAAGUUCACACUGUGACGGUAUCUUACCAGAAAGGGACGGCUAACUACGUG
rnacentral:rRNA from 1 species